GAGGGGGAUAACUACUGGAAACGGUAGCUAAUUACCGCAUAACGUCGCAAGACCAAAGAGGGGGACCUUCGGGCCUCUUGCCAUCAGAUGUGCCCAGAUGGGAUUAGCUAGUAGGUGGGGUAACGGCUCACCUAGGCGACGAUCCCUAGCUGGUCUGAGAGGAUGACCAGCCACACUGGAACUGAGACACGGUCCAG
rnacentral:rRNA from 1 species